GUAGCAAACAGGAUUAGAUACCCUGGUAGUCCACGCCGUAAACGAUGUCGACCAGCCGUUGGGUGCCUAGCGCACUUUGUGGCGAAGUUAACGCGAUAAGUCGACCGCCUGGGGAGUACGGCCGCAAGGUUAAAACUCAAAUGAAUUGACGGGGGCCCGCACAAGCGGUGGAGCAUGUGGUUUAAUUCGAUGCAACGCGAAGAACCUUACCUACUCUUGACAUCCUGCGAACUUGUGAGAGAUCACCUGGUGCCUUCGGGAGCGCAGAGACAGGUGCUGCAUGGCUGUCGUCAGCUCGUGUUGUGAAAUGUUGGGUUAAGUCCCGUAACGAGCGCAACCCUUGUCCUUAUUUGCCAGCGGGUAAUGCCGGGAACUCUAAGGAGACUGCCGGUGACAAACCGGAGGAAGGUGGGGACGACGUCAAGUCAUCAUGGCCCUUACGAGUAGGGCUACACACGUGCUACAAUGGCCGGUACAAAGGGUUGCGAGCUCGCGAGAGUCAGCUAAUCCCGAAAAGCCGGUCUCAGUCCGGAUCGGAGUCUGCAACUCGACUCCGUGAAGUCGGAAUCGCUAGUAAUCGUGAAUCAGAAUGUCACGGUGAAUACGUUCCCGGGCCUUGUACACACCGCCCGU
rnacentral:rRNA from 1 species